rnacentral:rRNA from 1 species
UACCAGCUCUCCGAGUGGUAGGGAUGAUUAUUGGGCUUAAAGCGUCCGUAGCCGGCUUAGCAAGUCUCCUGUUAAAUUCAGCGACCUAAUCGUUGGAGUGCGGGGGAUACUGUUCGGCUAGGGGGCGGGAGAGGCAGACGGUAUUUUCGGGGUAGGGGUGAAAUCCUAUAAUCCCGGGAAGACCACCAGUGGCGAGGGCUGUCUGCUAGAACGCGCCCGACGGUGAGGGAUGAAAGCUGGGGGAGCGAACCGGAUUAGAUACCCGGGUAGUCCCAGCUGUAAACGAUGCGAGCUAGGUGUUGGGGUGGCUACGUGCCACUUCAGUGCCGCAGGGAAGCCAUUAAGCUCGCCGCCUGGGGAGUACGGCCGCAAGGCUGAAACUUAAGGAAUUGGCGGGGAGCACCGCAAGGCGUGAAGCUUGCGGUUC